rnacentral:rRNA from 1 species
CACGUAGGGGGCGAGCGUUGUCCGGAUUUAUUGGGCGUAAAGAGCUCGUAGGCGGUUUGUCGCGUCUGCUGUGAAAACCUGAGGCUCAACCUCGGGCUUGCAGUGGGUACGGGCAGACUAGAGUGCGGUAGGGGUGACUGGAAUUCCUGGUGUAGCGGUGGAAUGCGCAGAUAUCAGGAGGAACACCGAUGGCGAAGGCAGGUCACUGGGCCGCAACUGACGCUGAGGAGCGAAAAGCAUGGGGGAGCGAACAGG